GACGAACGCUGGCGGCGUGCUUAACACAUGCAAGUCGAACGCUGAAGCUCAGCUUUUGUUGGGUGGAUGAGUGGCGAACGGGUGAGUAACACGUGAGUAACCUGCCUCCUUCUUUGGGAUAACGCCCGGAAACGGGUGCUAAUACUGGAUAUUCACUGGUCUUCGCAUGGGGGUUGGUGGAAAGGGUUUUUCUGGUGGGGGAUGGGCUCGCGGCCUAUCAGCUUGUUGGUGGGGUGAUGGCCUACCAAGGCUUUGACGGGUAGCCGGCCUGAGGGGGUGACCGGUCACAUUGGGACUGAGAUACGGCCCAGACUCCUACGGGAGGCAGCAGUGGGGAAUAUUGCACAAUGGGCGCAAGCCUGAUGCAGCGACGCCGCGUGAGGGAUGGAGGCCUUCGGGUUGUGAACCUCUUUCGCUCAUGGUCAAGCCGCAACAAUGGUUGUGGUGAGGGUAGUGGGUAAAGAAGCGCCGGCUAACUACGUG
rnacentral:rRNA from 1 species